AACGUAGGAGGCGAGCGUUAUCCGGAUUUACUGGGCGUAAAGCGCGUGCAGGCGGUGGUGCGAGUUGGGCGUAAAAUCUCCUGGCUCAACUGGGAGGGGUCGUCCAAUACUGCAUCACUUGAGGGCAGGAGAGGGAAGUGGAAUUCCCGGUGUAGCGGUAAUAUGCGCAGAUAUCGGGAGGAACACCAGUGGCGAAGGCGGCUUCCUGGCCUGUCUCUGACGCUCAGACGCGAAAGCUAGGGGAGCGAACGGGAUUAGAUACCCCCGUAGUCC
rnacentral:rRNA from 1 species